UACGUAGGGUGCAAGCGUUGUCCGGAAUUAUUGGGCGUAAAGAGCUCGUAGGCGGUCUGUCGCGUCGGCUGUGAAAACCCGAGGCUCAACCUCGGGCCUGCAGUCGAUACGGGCAAACUAGAGUACUGCAGGGGAGACUGGAAUUCCUGGUGUAGCGGUGAAAUGCGCAGAUAUCAGGAAGAACACCCGUGGCGAAGGCGGCUCUCUGGGACGGUACUGACGCUGCGACGCGAAAGCGUGGGGAGCGAACAGG
rnacentral:rRNA from 1 species